AUUGAACGCUGGCGGCAUGCCUUACACAUGCAAGUCGAACGGCAGCGGACCUUCGGGUGCCGGCGAGUGGCGAACGGGUGAGUAAUAUAUCGGAACGUACCUUUCAGUGGGGGAUAACGUAGCGAAAGUUACGCUAAUACCGCAUAUUCUGUGAGCAGGAAAGCAGGGGAUCGCAAGACCUUGCGCUGAUUGAGCGGCCGAUAUCAGAUUAGCUAGUUGGUGAGGUAAAGGCUCACCAAGGCGACGAUCUGUAGCGGGUCUGAGAGGAUGAUCCGCCACACUGGAGCUGAGACACGGUCCAGACUCCUACGGGAGGCAGCAGUGGGGAAUUUUGGACAAUGGGCGCAAGCCUGAUCCAGCCAUGCCGCGUGAGUGAAGAAGGCCUCGG
rnacentral:rRNA from 1 species